GCUAUAGUUCAGUUGGUAAUGCAUGAGAUUCUUAAUCUCAGGGUCAGGGGUUUGAGCCCCAUGUUGGGCA